UACGUAGGGGGCAAGCGUUAUCCGGAAUUACUGGGUGUAAAGGGAGCGUAGACGGUAAUGUAAGUCUGGAGUGAAAGGCGGGGGCCCAACCCCCGGACUGCUCUGGAAACUAUGUUACUAGAGUGCAGGAGAGGUAAGCGGAAUUCCUAGUGUAGCGGUGAAAUGCGUAGAUAUUAGGAAGAACACCAGUGGCGAAGGCGGUUCUCUGGACUGUAACUGACGCUGAGGCUCGAAAGCGUGGGGAGCAAAUAGG
rnacentral:rRNA from 1 species